rnacentral:ribozyme from 13 species
AACAAAUGUUUGCAAAAGGGGGCGUAUCCUUCUUUUAAUUCAUAUCCUUCUUCUUCUUCUCUUUCUUCUUUUUCUUUGUACAAUUCGUUUAGUUUUUGGACAAAGAAUUCUUUUGUGCAGGAGAAUUUCGAUCCUGUGUAGGAUGGGUCGUCGAAUUGGCGAAAAGCGAAGGGGAUGAGGUUGAAUUUUAUCUUU